rnacentral:misc_RNA from 1 species
CUCUCGACGCCCCACACGGAUACACCCGCCCGCCCCCGUCACCCACCCUUCUCACCCACUCCCGCUUUUUGUUCAUCCAUUGGCCAGCCAUGUACGGUAAUCCGCACAAGGAGCCCGUCGCGAUCGCCGUCAUCGGCGGCUCUGGCAUCUACAAGCUGGACUGCUUGCAGGAUGCAAAGUACUACGACGUACCGACCCCGUAUGGCAACCCGAGCGGGCAGCUGUGCGUGGCCAAGGUCGACGGUGUGCCGUGCGUCUUCCUGCCGCGUCACGGUCCGCACCACCAGUACAACCCCAGCGAGAUCAACUACCGCGCCAACAUCUGCGCGCUGAAGCAGAUGGGCGUGCGCUACAUCCUCGCCAUCAACGCUGUUGGAUCGCUGGACGAGUCCUGCAAGCCCGGCGACCUCGUGCUGUGCGACCAGAUCAUCGACAAGACGUACGCGCGCAAGGCAACCUUCUUCGAGGGCGGCGUCGUCGCGCACGCGGACUUCGCCCACCCGACGUCGCGCAUCUUCAACAACAUCGCGCAUGAGGCGCUGCUGCGCUGCUUUCCGGACGUGGCGGCCGGCAAGGGCACGUUCCAGAUUCACAGCAGCGGCACCCUCGUGACGAUGGAAGGUCCGCAGUUCAGCACUAAGGCCGAGUCCCUCCUCAACAAGCAGAUGGGCGGCCACCUGAUCGGUAUGACGUCGGCAACGGAGGCGCGGCUGGCGCGUGAGGCGGAGAUCGCAUACGCGACAGUGGCGAUGGUGACCGACAUGGACGCGUGGAGCGACGCGCCGCACGUGGACGCGGCGCAGGUGACGAAGGUGAUGGCGGCGAAUGUGGAGAAGGCGCAGCGCUACCCAUCCGAGAUCAUCAAGUCCCUCGCCCAGAAUCUCUUCGAUGAUCCGGCGCACCACACCCUGGAGUACGCCAUCGUGACAAAGCCGGAGCACAUCCCCGCCGAGACGAAGCAGCGCAUCGCGCCGCUCGUGGCGAGCAAGUACCCGCAGUUCGCCCCGUAGAGCGUGCGUGUUGUACCAGAGGCCUCGAGGCGUGUGUAGGUGAGGUGGAUACGUGGAUAGCUUGGGCAAGCGGCGUAAACGUUGAAGGAGAUGGAGGAGGGGCGCGGGUGUAUGUCGCCUCCGACUCGAGCGCGAAGUUGAUUGCGCUCACUCGCGAGCAAGCAGCCACAGCAAAACUAAGCAAGCGGAGCUGGAGCAACAGCAGCAACGGCGGUGUUUGGGUGUGAAUGUGGGUGUGUGUAAGCUGCCGCCGUGUUGAUGGCGGUGCCCGCACCCCACCCCCGCUUUCACCCUCAGUUGCCUAGCCGCUCACCUCCUCCGCACCUGCACAUCAACGCAUGUCCUCUCGCAGGUUCAGGUAAGCGUACCGUUACUUCGAACACCCAGUCUUCUCCCCCCACCCCACCCCACUCCCACCCCCGUCCUCUUCGCUUCCGUCGCUGCUGUUGCCACGACGCUGGUUGGGGGGUGCAUGCGCGGGGGGGGGGAAGGAGGGAAGGGGCCAAGCCCGGAUACGAUGAAAAGGGAAGGGAAAGGAUAGGGGGCGGGAACUGGACAGACCUGUGGGGGUGUUCACGGGUGGGGAGAAGGAAGGAAGGUAGAAGUCAGAGGAAUGCGCGAAAGGGCGAAGAGCAGGAAGAAAGGGGGUGGCGCGAUGCAGUGCGGGCACACGCGCGCGUGCGUGCCUCUAUGCCUCUCUCGUGUUCCUUGCGCCCCGCCUCGCCUCGGCGUCCUCGCCCUGCACACCACAACACCCCCACACACCACACACACACGCACACCUUUGUGUCCAUGGUUUGUGCGUGCAUGGGCGUCUACGUUUGUGGAAGGGAAAGAGGAGGAGGAGGACAGAGGGACCUCUCCCGAGACUAUCGCUACCACCACCAGCGGCAGCGGCAGCAGCACCAUAAGGGGACUGCCGCUGCUUACACAGGCAAAACUAACGAAAAACUUGGCACAUCACGCGUGUUGAUGUGCGUGGACAGGAAAGAGAGAGAGAUGCCGGUGCAGCCGUAAAGACUCAAGUGGCGGCGGCGCGGAUGUCCUCGCCGGUCAU